rnacentral:rRNA from 1 species
UACGUACCGUCCAAACGUUAUCCGUAAUGAUUGGGCGUAAAGCGUCCGCAGGUGGCUAUGUAAGUCUGCUGUUAAAGAGCAAGGCUCAACCUUGUAAAGGCAGUGGAAACUACAUGGCUAGAGUGCGUUCGGGGCAGAGGGAAUUCCUGGUGUAGCGGUGAAAUGCGUAGAGAUCAGGAAGAACACCGGUGGCGAAGGCGCUCUGCUAGGCCGCAACUGACACUGAGGGACGAAAGCUAGGGGAGCGAAUGGG